AAUGAACGCUGGCGGCGCGCCUAAUACAUGCAAGUCGAGCGAGAAGACGUAGCAAUACGUUUGUAAAGCGGCGAACGGGUGAGGAAUACAUGGGUAACCUACCCUAGAGUGGGGAAUAACUAGCCGAAAGGUUAGCUAAUACCGCGUACGCUCCUUGGACUUCGGUUCAGGGAGGAAAGCGAUGCCGAGGGUAUCGCGCUCUUGGAUGGGCUCAUGUCCUAUCAGCUUGNGGUGAGGUAACGGCUCACCAAGGCUUCGACGGGUAGCUGGUCUGAGAGGACGAUCAGCCACACUGGCACUGCGACACGGGCCAGACUCCUACGGGAGGCAGCAGUGGGGAAUCUUGCGCAAUGGGCGAAAGCCUGACGCAGCGACGCCGCGUGAGGGAUGACGGCCU
rnacentral:rRNA from 1 species